rnacentral:rRNA from 1 species
GGGGGGGUGACGGAGAAACGUAAGGAUUGCGAACUGACGGAAUAGUUCGUUGAAGUGUGUAGGCGUUGAUAGUGUAGGUAAAUCCGCAUUAGAGCUGAAUCACGAUAGUACAGGGAUCUGCUUGCAGAUGCCUGAUAAUGUCCCCAAGUAUGCUUCCAAGAAAAACCUCUAAGCAUCAGGUAUAUACAGCCCGUACCGUAAACCGACACAGGUAGUCGAGGAGAGUAUCCUAAGGCGCUCGAGUGAAUCAUGGCUAAGGAAUUAGGCAAAAUGGCCUCGUAACUUCGGGAGAAGAGGCGCUCCGUGUAAAAAUGGAGCCGCAGUGAAAAGGCCCAGGCGACUGUUUAGCAAAAACACAGGACUCUGCGAAAUCGUAAGAUGAAGUAUAGGGUCUGACACCUGCCCGGUGCUGGAAGGUUAAGGAAGGGGCUUAGUGCGCGAGUGCGAAGGUCUUGACUGAAGCCCCAGUAAACGGCGGCCGUAACAAUAACGGUCCUAAGGUAGCGAAAUUCCUUGUCGGGUAAGUUCCGACCUGCACGAAUGGUGUAACGAUCUGGGCACUGUCUCAGCCAUGAGCUCGGUGAAAUUGAAGUAUCGGUGAAGAUGCCGGUUACCCGCAGUGGGACGAAAAGACCCCGUGCACCUUUACUAUAGCUUCACAUUGAGCUUGAGUAUAAGAUGUGUAGGAUAGGUGGGAGACGUUGAAGGGUUCACGCUAGUGGGUCUGGAGUCGCCGUUGAAAUACCACCCUUCUUAUACUUAGGUUCUAAUCCCGUUGAAGACGGGAGACAUUGUGUGGUGGGUAGUUUGACUGGGGUGGUCGCCUCCAAAAGAGUAACGGAGGCUUGCAAAGGUUCCCUCAGCAUGGUCGGUAAUCAUGCGUAGAGCGUAUUAGUAAAAGGGAGCUUGACUGAGAGACCGACGGGUCGAACAGGUAGGAAACUAGGCUAAAGUGAUCCGGUGGUUCCGUAUGGAAGGGCCAUCGCUCAAAGGGUAAAAGGUACGCCGGGGAUAACAGGCUUAUCUCCCCCAAGAGCUCACAUCGACGGGGAGGUUUGGCACCUCGAUGUCGGCUCGUCACAUCCUGGGGCUGGAGAAGGUCCCAAGGGUUGGGCUGUUCGCCCAUUAAAGUGGCACGCGAGCUGGGUUCAGAACGUCGCAAGACAGUUCGGUCUCUAUCUACUGUGGGCGUAGGAAUAUUGAGAAGAUCUGACACUAGUACGAGAGGACCGUGUUGGACAAACCUCUAGUGUACCAGUUAUGCCGCCAGGUGUACCGCUGGGUAGCUAAGUUUGGAACGGAUAAGCGCUGAAAGCAUCUAAGCGCGAAGCCAACUUCAAGAUGAGUAUUCCAUUGUCUUCGGACUAAAAGGGUUGUUGCAGAUGACGACGUUGAUAGGCUAUAGGUGGAAGU